rnacentral:rRNA from 1 species
UACGAAGGGGGCUAGCGUUGCUCGGAAUCACUGGGCGUAAAGGGUGCGUAGGCGGGUUUUUAAGUCAGGGGUGAAAUCCUGGAGCUCAACUCCAGAACUGCCUUUGAUACUAAAGAUCUCGAGUCCGGGAGAGGUGAGUGGAACUGCGAGUGUAGAGGUGAAAUUCGUAGAUAUUCGCAAGAACACCAGUGGCGAAGGCGGCUCACUGGUCCGGUACUGACGCUGAGGUGCGAAAGCGUGGGGAGCAAACAGGG